GUAUGAGGUGAUGAUUAGAUAAUUUCCCUAUUGGUUUGAUUGUCGAAACGGUGACAUAAAUGUAUUCCGUCUAUCUGAUAAUUA